UACGGAGGGGACUAGCGUUGUUCGGAAUUACUGGGCGUAAAGCGCACGGUAGGCGGAUUUGUAAGUCAGGGGUGAAAUCCCGGGGCUCAACCUCGGAACUGCCUUUGAUACUGCAAAUCUCGAGUCCGGAAGAGGUGAGUGGAAUUCCUAGUGUAGAGGUGAAAUUCGUAGAUAUUAGGAAGAACACCAGUGGCGGAAGGCGGCUCACUGGCCGGUACGUGACGCUGAGGUGCGAAAGCGU
rnacentral:rRNA from 1 species